rnacentral:rRNA from 1 species
GAUGAACGCUGGCGGCGUGCCUAAUACAUGCAAGUCGAGCGAACGGACGAGAAGCUUGCUUCUCUGAUGUUAGCGGCGGACGGGAGAGUAAAAUGUGGAUAACCUACCUAUAAGACUGGGAUAACUUCGGGAAACCGGAGCUAAUACCGGAUAAUAUCUUGAACCGCAUGGUUCAAAAGUGAAAGACGGUCUUGCUGUCACUUAUAGAUGGAUCCGCGCUGCAUUAGCUAGUUGGUAAGGUAACGGCUUACCAAGGCAACGAUGCAUAGCCGACCUGAGAGGGGGUUGGGCGACACUGGGGCUGAGACACGGUCCUGACUCCUACGGGAGGCAGCAGUAGGGAAGCGUCCGCGAAGGGCGAAAGCCUGACGGAGCAGCGCCGCGUUGGUGAUGAAGGUCUUCGGAUCGUAAGACUCUGUUAUUAGGGAAGAACGUAUGUGUAAGUAGCUGUGCACAUCUUGACGGUACCUAAUCAGAAAGCCACGGCUAACUACGUG